UUCAGCUUCGACCUGGCCGCUCACAUUCAGUUGGAUUGGGUGGACCCUCGCUUCGGUCGUUUGUAGCUUCAAUACUUUUUAUCAGCUUUUCCUGGUCGUUUGCGUGCAACAUUCAAAGAAAGAAAUGGAAAUUAUGCAGAUAUUCUUGUGCUUUACAAUAUUUGGCAUACAGGAUGCAAAGGAGGAAUUGGAAAUGAUAGAGAGAAUAACCAACCACUGAAUUUCAGAUACAACAAUGAAUCUUGAAGAUUGUACAAGAUAAGUACACGUUUGAAUUAGAUCAGAUUUUAAAAAUUAUUAAUUCAACCUAGAAAACUUUUAGUACUGAUUAGCGAUGGAUGCUGAAUCAGUUUCGACCGAGCUCGUUGCUUAUUAACCGCGCGUCUUUUGUCAAGAUUAUACUGAGAGAAAACAGGUAUUUGUUUGCUGUAAGCAAAAUUAUAAUUUUAGCAUUGUUACUUUUAUUGACUGUUGUUUAGUAAGUCUUCAGCAUCCACCCACCGCUUGUAUCGUGGUCUUAGUUUCACGAAUAUGUCGCGUAUUACAGAUGUUAACUAUUCUUUUGUGUAACAAGUGUGUUGUAUGAAUGAUAGUAUUGAUAGAUUUACGCGCAAGAAAAAUUUAAUCGGCUUAUGGCUGUGUACUCUUUUCUAUUGCAGAUUAAUUGCAUCUAAUAUUUCUUAGAUAAAGCAUCUUUUUAUUUUCGGGUUAGCGUAGUCUUGUUAAAUUAAACUAUUGCUCAGAACUAUUUCCAAUUUCUAUCAUAAUUUUUCUUUAAUUUACCGGUAGUCGCCUAGGAUAUUUGAAUUGAUUUGUACGAUCUUUAUUUUACUGUCCUAUUAUACAAUUCUCUAGCUUUUCAGUUCUAAAUAGAUUCGUAAAUCGGUCCGAAUUUUAAGGUUUUUUGUCUUGGGCAGGUUUUUCAUAGUUUGUAUUCAAUUGAUCAAUAGUAGAAACAUCACAACACAUACAUCACAACAUACACACACGCAUAGGAAUGAAAGAGCGAUGAUGUUAAUCAAUCUAUACAAUUCUUUCUUUGUAUGCCAUUGCGUGAAGCAAUUAUUAUCUUGAGCUGCGCAACGAUUUACGCUACAUUCGCUAAAAUUAUACGCGUUCUUGUAACUUAUUCAGGGCCGCUUCUUUUUAUGCGAUUAUUUCACAGAGCAAACCUUGCAGUCUCCCACGUCAUUAGUGAAUAAUGGUAAAUGCACCUCUACAUUUUGAAGUCUC